ACUUGCCAAGUAUCAGGGAUGCUGUGCUAAAGCUGGUACAUUGGAACCAAAUCAACUCCUCAAUGGAUUUGGUCCCCUUCAACCAGCUGUAGCAUUGCACUUUUCAAGCGCACAUUCAUC
rnacentral:precursor_RNA from 16 species